UACGUAGGGUGCGAGCGUUGUCCGGAAUUAUUGGGCGUAAAGAGCUCGUAGGCGGUCUGUCGCGUCGGUCGUGAAAACUUGGGGCUUAACCCUGAGCUUGCGGUCGAUACGGGCAUGACUGGAGUUCGGCAGGGGAGACUGGAAUUCCUGGUGUAGCGGUGAAAUGCGCAGAUGUCAGGAGGAACACCGGUGGCGAAGGCGGGUCUCUGGGCAACAACUGACGCUGAGGAGCGAAAGCGUGGGGAGCGAACAGG
rnacentral:rRNA from 1 species